rnacentral:rRNA from 1 species
ACGAACGCUGGCGGCGUGCCUAAUACAUGCAAGUCGAGCGGAGUGAUGAAGAAGCUUGCUUCUUCUGAUUUUAGCGGCGGACGGGUGAGUAACACGUGGGCAACCUACCUUGUAGAUUGGGAUAACUCCGGGAAACCGGGGCUAAUACCGAAUAAUCCAUUUUGCUUCAUGGCGAGAUGUUAAAAGGCGGCUUCGGCUGUCACUACGAGAUGGGCCCGCGGCGCAUUAGCUAGUUGGUAGGGUAAUGGCCUACCAAGGCGACGAUGCGUAGCCGACCUGAGAGGGUGAUCGGCCACGCUGGGACUGAGACACGGCCCAGACUCCUACGGGAGGCAGCAGUAGGGAAUCUUCCACAAUGGACGAAAGUCUGAUGGAGCAACGCCGCGUGAGUGAAGAAGGUUUUCGGAUCGUAAAACUCUGUUGUAAGGGAAGAACACGUACGAGAGUAACUGCUCGUACCUUGACGGUACCUUAUUAGAAAGCCACGGCUAACUACGUG